rnacentral:lncRNA from 1 species
CAGAAACAGAGGAAUUUCAGGCUUCAGGAUUUCAGAGGCCAAAUUCCAUCUGGCCUAGUCUGCCUGGCUCACGAUAAGAAAACCGAAGUUCACCAAAGUAAAGUGACUUGUCCAAGACCUCACAGCUAUCAAGUAGAGAAACUGGGAUUUGGAUGCAGGUCUGUCUGACUCCAGACACCGCGAUCUUAACCAUCGAGGCAGAGUUUCUACCUUUUAGGAAUUUCCAAAUAGAGGAGACAACCUCAGGACUUGAACAAUGCAGAAACACAGUCAAAAAUACAAAGAGCUAGGGAGUGAUGCCUAUAUUGUGCUGUGAGGGUUAAUAUCGCUUCCUGUCAAAGGACAAUCUAAGGGAGGUGAUAUUUGUUAAUAUACAAGGUUUUUUUUAAAAGAAGGGGUCAGCUUUGAACACAGUAGUGAUCGCAACUGGGGAGAAGAGCAACCAGGAAGAGGAUAUAUCAUAAGCAAAAGCACUGGUGUGGGAAAGAAUAGGGAUUUGGUGGGAAGUGUGAACGAUACCACUGGUUGGUGUGAAAAUACAGGCAAAC